GACGAACGCUGGCGGCGUGCUUAACACAUGCAAGUCGAACGAAAAGGCCCUUCGGGGUACUCGAGUGGCGAACGGGUGCGUAACACGUGGGUGAUCUGCCCUGCACUUUGGGAUAAGCCUGGGAAACUGGGUCUAAUACCGAAUAGGACCACGCGCUUCAUGGUGUGUGGUGGAAAGCUUUUGCGGUGUGGGAUGGGCCCGCGGCCUAUCAGCUUGUUGGUGGGGUAAUGGCCUACCAAGGCGACGACGGGUAGCCGGCCUGAGAGGGUGACCGGCCACACUGGGACUGAGAUACGGCCCAGACUCCUACGGGAGGCAGCAGUGGGGAAUAUUGCACAAUGGGCGCAAGCCUGAUGCAGCGACGCCGCGUGAGGGAUGACGGCCUUCGGGUUGUAAACCUCUUUCAAUAGGGACGAAGCGCAAGUGACGGUACCUAUAGAAGAAGCACCGGCCAACUACGUG
rnacentral:rRNA from 1 species